rnacentral:lncRNA from 1 species
UAUGAGGCGAGACGUCCACCUGUCGUCUUCCAAUACAAAAGGAGGGACAAAACGGCUCUACAAUGAGAAAGCUACAGAUGUCAGCUUUCGGUUGGAGAAUAAGGAUAAGAAGAAUAAUGAAUAAAAGAGGUUAGCGUGAGCUGUCAUGCUGCACAUGGCCUAUCGAGUAGUAGGACGGUGUGAGCAGGCACGUAAGUUUGUCUUAUAUAAGUUGUGUCAUCGAGUCUGUUUUAGGCAUCAAAGAUUGUUGAUCAUUGUUAAGGGGAGAGAGAGAAACUCCUGAGAAAAACUCAUAUGUGUUAAGCUAGACGGGUUUCCAACCUAAAACCAAUUGGUUAUAAGUGGAGUGUUCCAUCCAUCUUAUAUAUUACUAAAGAUCCCUUCCAAUAUCCGAUGUGGGACAUUUAUCCCUAAUACGCCCCCUCGAGAUGAUGGCUUUUUAAGCGUCAAUCUCGGAAUGUUCGGGUAAGGAUCGAUGAGCCGAAUUUGGGCUGGAUCGAUAAUGGAUCGGAUUGGACUGCAUGGAUCGGGCUCUGAUACCAUGUUAAGCUAGAUGGGUUUCCAACCUAAAACCAAUUGGUUAUAAGUGGAGUGUUCCAUCCAUCUUAUAUAUUACUAAGGAUCCCUUCCAAUAUCUGAUGUGGGACAUUUAUCCCUAAUAAUAUGUACCUUGAGUGAUCAAUAAUAUCAGUAUUUGUCCUUAUUUACAUUGUUCUUGUCACUAAGCGAUAGCAAAAGUCUAUCAUUUGGUAUCAGAGCAGUGACGAUCGGGAAUCAUGGCACCAAAGAAGAACGAUACGAAGGUUAACAUGGACCAGCUGCAACAACAGAUGAGCAGCGUUGUUGUAGCAGAGAUUGGUCCAGCGAUGGGAAGGAUAGACUCGAUGGAACAAACGCUUCAAACGAUGCAAGGACAGCUUAACAGCAUCUUUGCUCGUUGGGAGCAGAAGGCGAAGGCCAAGGAGGAAGAACAACGGAGGUCGAUGGAGAAAGCCCGCGGUAAGAGCCACGUCAGUGACGAGACUCGAUCCGACGGCAAGAUUGGUCAACACAAACACCUGGAGGACGGUGAGCAGAGCCUUCUGGUGGACCAAACUCCGAUCGACAGUCGCGGCGAUGAAUCAGGGGUCCGACGUGCACGGAGGCGUGGAUCUCGGUUUCACGACAACUACGACGACGACAGAGGACGGUCUCUGACACGGAGGUUGGAGCUGCCUCUGUUCGACGGGGAGAACGCUGACAGCUGGGUUCUCAAGGUCGAACAGUACUUUGAGAUCCGCGAGUACUCGGAGGAGGAGAAGCUACACAACGUGAGGACGUGCUUCGACGGUGUGGCCUUGCUGUGGUACCGUUGGGAGCGAGACCGGAACCCAUUUCGUAGCUGGAACCAUAUGAAAUACCGGGUAUUGGAGCAGUACUCAUCCAACAAGGACACCUCCGCCGGCGAAAGGUUACUGACAUUGCGACAAACUGGCACCGUCCAGGAAUACUAUCGCGAUUUCAAAAACCUCGCCAUGAACGCACCAGAGGUAACGGAGGAGGUCUUGGAACUGGAGUUCAUCGUUGGGUUGCAAACGAAGAUCCGGGCCGGCGUGAAGUUGUUUGAACCUCGUGGAUUGCAAAAACUGAUGGAGAUGGCGACGAAAGUGGAGGACUGUUCCGGCGAGGGCGAGUCAUCGCCGCCUAAGGGAGGACGCUUGAAUAGUUUGGGCCUUUCGACCACGUCACCAAAGCCCAACUCAGUGGUCCAAACUACAACACCAAAUCGUUCGAAGCCCGGCCCAUUUUCGACAAACCUUAAUAAUCGAAGCGGGGGUCGCGCGACGACGACUCAUGGGCGUUUGAAACCACUGUUUCGGCGUCUAACACCGGAGGAAGUGGCGAAAUGGCAGGCAGAGGUUCUAUGCUUUAAGUGCGAUUAGAAGCGGCAUCAUAAUCACCUUUGUUCCAAACCGAAGCUGACAGUGUUGGUCACUCAUGACGAUGGUUCUGAGACAGAACUAUUGGAGGAGCCUUGCGAGCUAGAUGAGGAGGUUGAAGCGGUUGUGGCAGAGGUUUCAAUCAACUCCGUGGUAGGGAUGACAUCUCCGAAGACAAUGAAAUUGAAGGGGAAGAUCGGCACUUAAGAGGUGGUGGUGCUGAUUGAUAGCGGUGCUUCCCACAAUUUCAUCUCGGAGGGGUUAGUAAAGCGUUUGAAGCUGGAGACUUAUAGUACGGUGAAGUAUGGGGUCUUAGUCGCAGGAGGAGUCAAAGUUCAAGGCAGAGGAGUGAUUGAAGAGGUUGAUCUGGUGCUUCCAUCAUGUACGAUCUGUACCAGCUUCUUACCAUUAGAACUGGGCAUUGCAGAUGUCAUUUUGGGAGUCCAGUGGCUGGAUACCUUGGGUGAGAUGCGUGUUAACUGGAAGCUUUAGUGGAUAAAGAUCUUGUUGGAGGGAAAUUGGGUGACAAUACAAGCGAUCUCAGUCUCCACUUUGCAGCAGUGUCACUUAAGUCACUACGGAAAGCACUGGGAAAGGAGGGCGAAGGGAUGAUUGUGGAGUAUGGAGGAAUACAGAAGGAUGAGGCGUCAGUUCCUGUGGCUAUGGAUGGGCAAUGGAGAGCUGUUCUUGACCGUUAUGCUCAGGUGUUCAAGGAACCAACAGGCUUACCUCUUUCGCGUGGGAAGGAGCACGCGAUCAACUUUGAGGAAGGAGCUAAGUCAGUUAGCGUCAGACCAUUCUGGUACCCACAGACACAGAAGGCAGAGAUCGAGAAGCAGAUCACUUCUAUGUUGGCUGCAUGCAUUAUCCAAAAGAGCAGUAGUCCGUUCUCUAGUCCGGUGAUGUUGGUCCGAAAGAAAGACGGUAGCUGGCGGUUUUGUGUCGACUACAGGGCACUCAACCGCGUGACAGUGGCAGAUAAGUACCUGAUCCCGAUGAUUGAUCAACUCCUCGACGAGCUACACGGAGCAAAGGUGUUCUCGAAACUUGAUCUUCGCUCAGGCUAUCACCAGAUACGGGUGAAGCAAUCAGACGUACCCAAGACAGCAUUCCGCACUCACGACAGCCAUUACGAGUUCCUAGUAAUGCCGUUUGGGUUAUCGAAUGCGGCUGCUACAUUUCAGUCCCUCAUGAAUCAAAUCUUUCGACCGUACCUUCGGAAGUUUGUGCUAGUCUUCUUUGAUGACAUCCUAGUCUACAGCAAGACUGCGGAAGAGCAUCAGGGACAUUUAGAAACGGUGUUGCAAGUCUUGCAGGAGCAGAAGCUGUAUGCAAACUUCAAAAAAUGCAAGUUUGGCAGCUCCACCUUGGAGUAUUUGGGUCACGUCAUCUUGGAGAAAGGAGUAUCUGCUGCUGAUGACAAGAUCAGAGCAAUGGUAGAUUGGCCAAUUCCUAGGAAUAUCAAGAAUCUGCGAGGGUUCUUAGGCUUGACGGGAUAUUACCGAAAGUUUGUGCGCAGUUACGGGAGUAUUGCGCGGCCACUCACAGUGCUGCUUCGCAAGGAUCAGUUCCAGUGGGGAGCGGAAGCCGCCACAGCCUUUGUGUCUCUGAAGCAGGCGAUUUCGUCAGUACCGGUCUUGGCUAUGCUUGACUUCAACGCCCAAUUCAUUGUGGAGUCUGAUGCUUCAGGAAUAGGGUUGGGCGCCGUUCUGAUGCAAGGACAGCAACCCAUCGCUUACUUUAGCCAAGCUCUGACUGAUAGGCAACGUGCAAAAUCCGUCUACGAGCGUGAACUCAUGGCCAUAGUUUUCGCCAUGCAGAAGUGGCGCCACUACCUCAUUGGGAGGAAGUUCGUAGUGCGCACGGAUCAGAAGAGUUUGCGGUUUUUGAUGGAACAACGUGAAGUGAAUUUGGAGUAUCAGCGUUGGUUGACAAAGCUGCUUGGGUUUGAUUUCGACAUUGUGUAUAAGUCGGGCCUGGAGAAUAAGGCGGCUGACGCACUCUCGAGAAAGAUGGCAGUGACUGAAUUAUACGCUGUCUCGGUGUCCAUGGUGCUGCAACUGGAGAAGAUAGCAGAAGAAGUAGACCACGGCCCUGAGUUGCAGCGGAUCAUUGAGGAGUUAGCAAAAGGAUCUAAUAAAUGGAAGGAAUAUUCUAAGGUUCAAGGGAGGUUACUUCGCUGUGGGAAGCUUGUUAUACCAAAAGGGUCGGCACUGGUGGGGUUCAUUAUGGAGGAGUAUCACAGUGGGAAGAUUGGGGGCCAUGGAGGGGUUCUCAAAACUCAGAAACGGAUUGGGGAACUGUUCUAUUGGACAGGGAUGAUGACAGACAUACGCCGUUUUGUGGCUGCUUGCGCGGUUUGUCAACGUCAGAAAUAUUCUACUUUGGCUCCAGGAGGGUUACUCCAGCCUUUAACAAUUACAGAUAAGGUUUGGGAAGAUAUCUCCAUGGAUUUUGUGGAAGGACUACCACGCUCCAUGUGGGUGAAUUCAGUGCUAGUAGUGGUGGAUCGGUUGACCAAAUACAGUCAUUUCAUCAGCCUCAGUCACCCCUUUUCAGCUACUGAUGUCGCAUUGCUGUUCAUUCGAGAAGUGGUGCAACUACAUGGCUUUCCACGCACUAUCGUCUCGGAUCGAGACAAAGUUUUUACAAGUUUGCUCUGGAAGGAACUGUUCCGCUUGUCAGGCACUAACUGUGGGAACCGAAAUUCGCACUGUCGAUUUUCGUUUAAAUUAGGAAAGUAGGAGAACCCUAGUUUCCCAGAGGUCCCGGAUAUCUACUAAUACCACACGCUAAGCAAUCAGAACACGAGAUAACAACGAUAAAGUAUAAGAAAAUCGUAAAAAAAGAGCAAAGAGAAGUCUUAUUCCGAAUUGGCGUAUGAGCGUUUACAACAAGAUAUAAGCCUGGGCUCAAGAGCUGUCGGCAAGAUUCCUAGUUCUAGCAACCCUAAGACGGCUAAACCUAAUUGAGUCGCAGCUCGAAUAACAAAAACGGAAAGUUGUCUAAUUGCUCUAAGUGCUAAGUUUUUCUGUGAAAAGUCCCCCCCCAUGCCUCUCGCCUAGGACUCCUUAUAUACUGGCUCCAAGGUCGGUUUACGCUUUUCCCCUUCUGCCCUUAAGCCGUCAUAGCAUAAAAAUGAAGAUAUUCCAUUUUUUACGAUCUUCGUAAUUAUCUUCAAAAUUUCAUAUUUAUCCGCGGAAACUUGACGUUUAUUUUUCCUUGCGAGCCAAGCGUAAACCGUUAUGCGACUUACGGGCUGUUGGUUAAGAAAUCCUAAGUUGGGCUUCGAAUCAUGUCUUAGGUCCCUUUGGGCCAUCUUCCGACCCGAAGCGUUUAUUACGGUUUUUUUCGAUAAAGAACGAACUUUUCGCAGUUUUUACGGUAAAGUUUGAUCGAUAACUUAGAAUGGCGGGGAAUCGUGAAAUGGGUUCGCUACGGUCUUCAGAAGAUAGCAUCGAAGGAUAGACGAGAACGCAUGGACUAAUGUCGUAUCGAUGUUUCAGAAGAGCUCGGUCACUACGUAGCGACCGAACUUUGGUUCGAGCUUGGUCACUACGUAGCGACCGAGCUCCGGCUCGAGCUUGGUCGCUACGUAGCGACCAAGCUCCUUCAUGUGUUCGGUUGCUGCGUAGCGACCCUCUUCGAGCUCUUGUCUGAUGACUCGCGUUUCUUCCGCAAAGCUUUACUUAAAGAAGAAUCUAUUUCGAAAAAGUAUUUGUCGAAGAAGGUGAUGCGCCUCAGAUCAUAGACCCGGGCCAGGAUGAUGCGACCAUGGCUGAGCCAGAUGAUUCUUCAACAAAAGACAAACCAGGAUGGAUUAAUGGUGAGGAUACUGAUCUAAAACCAGCUGAUGAGACUGAGGACGAGCUGGAACUAGCUAAAGAGAGUAUGCUUGAGCUGAAACCAGCUGAAGUGAUAGUAGAUGGGCUAGAUGAGCUGAGUGAGCUAAGUGAUACUAGCUUGGAGCUGAAUGAGCUAAGUGACACUGAAGAUGGAGCUGGUUUAGUUGCUGGGCGAAAUGAGCAUUUUUCAGCCCAAAGAAAAAUUCAUAACAAAUUCAAUUUGGGUCGGUUUUACACCAAAUUCGACCAGACCUUUCCUCAGUCCAUUUCAAGCCCAUUCUCAUCAAGAAUGCCAAGAGGGAGUCAGCAAGGAAGUCUUGGUCGUGCAUGGGAAAAAGAAUUCAACAAAAAUCAUUAAUUUCGGUCUUUAGUCAAAGUCUUCAUUUCUAGUUUCCAUGUCUUGUUUUUAGCACAUUCUUCUUUGGAUUUCUACAACUUGUAAUCCUAUAUAUAGGGCCUAUGAGCCACGAAAUAAGAUAACUUUUUUCCCCUUUUAUUGAGAGUUUUUCUCCUUUGUUCUUUGUAGAACACUUCCUUGUUUCUUGGUGAGGUUAUCUCCGAGUAAACAGCCUCUAAUUCGUUGGACCUGUGCGUCAUAUCAGGCAACGUUUAGAAAUCCUUCUUUUGGUGGACUUGUGAGUCAUAUCAAGCACCAACUGAAGUCUGGUAGUAUCAUUGGGCCAUCCGCAACCCAUUGUGUCACCAUUCAAUCCAUCAGUUCUCCCUUUUGGCGAGUUCAUAUCCCUUUAGUCCGUAACAUCCAUCAUCAUGGAGAACCAACUUUGCUUUGAUCCCUGCACAACUCCUACGCCUUUGACCACAUACAUUCAAGAGCACUGUGAGAAACUUGAUUUGAUUAAUUUUCUGCCUGAUCUGUUUGAUAAAGUCAGUUCCAAUGACAUAAAACUUUCUGGUCUUGAUCAUCUUGAAAAGUCAUCUGAGCUUGAUUUGCAACAACUAGUUUUCUGCUCUAGAAAAUCGUUUGAUUCAUUUGUCUUCAAAGAAAAUAGCUUUAGUCUGAGAUCUUAUGGACAUGAACUGAUCACUGGAAUUUUGUUUGCAUCCUCAUAUGCUUUGGAAGAUUUUAUGGUUAGCACAUUGCUGGAACAGAAUUCACAUAAAGCUGAAACAGAUUUUUGUGGUGAUUCUGUUUUGAAACCUGUCCAUUCUUAUUCUGAAUCUGAUCUUGAACUAAAACUUUUGUGUUCUGAAUCUGAUCAAGUUAGGCACGUUUUGGAAAUGUUCUAUGGUAGUUCAUGCCUCGAAAACAUUCUGAUUUACAACACCUUCUUUGAUAAACAUGCUGAGCCUUGGAUAAGAAAUUCUCAAUUUGAACUUAAUCUUUUGUGUUCUAAAUCUGAGAAACUUGCGCAUGAUUUGAAUUUGUUCUUUAGGAACUGUGCUAUCACGUGCCCUGACACCAUUCUGGUGUACAAGACUUACUUUGAUAGGCUUCAUGAUGAUCUGAAACGUGUGCUACAUGUUCUAGGGAAGGAAAAUUUGGUUUAUGAUCUGAACAAGUACUUGUCUUGUACAUAUGAUCCUGGUAUUUUAAUGUUUGUUUUGAGUGUCCAGGAUAAACAUGAUCAGUCUCCAAGAGGUGUCAGGAACAGAAGCAGAGAUCGUGCUUAUCAGUUUAAGACUUGGAGAUGCAUGUACUCGAGGAAACCAACUUCAAAACUCCAAGGAAGUUUCUUUCCAAAAUUUUCCUUCACUAAAUUUUACAUGAUUUUUAAAUUCUUUUUGUCUGAUUCAUUUCCUUUUGAUACAGGUAAAAUGGAUUUGAGGUCAAAUCCUUUUCAAGAGGGAGGGAAUGAUGCGCCUCGGAUCAUAGACCCGGGCCAGGAUGAUGCGACCAUGGCUGAGCCAGAUGAUUCUUCAACAAAAGACAAACCAGGAUGGAUUAAUGGUGAGGAUACUGAUCUAAAACCAGCUGAUGAGACUGAGGACGAGCUGGAACCAGCUAAAGAGAGUAUGCUUGAGCUGAAACCAGCUGAAGUGAUAGUAGAUGAGCUAGAUGAGCUGAGUGAGCUAAGUGAUACUAGCUUGGAGCUGAAUGAGCUAAGUGACACUGAAGAUGGAGCUGGUUUAGUUGCUGGGCGAAAUGAGCAUUUUUCAGCCCAAAGAAAAAUUCAUAACAAAUUCAAUUUGGGUCGGUUUUACACCAAAUUCGACCAGACCUUUCCUCAGUCCAUUUCAAGCCCAUUCUCAUCAAGAAUGCCAAGAGGGAGUCAGCAAGGAAGUCUUGGUCGUGCAUGGGAAAAAGAAUUCAACAAAAAUCAUUAAUUUCGGUCUUUAGUCAAAGUCUUCAUUUCUAGUUUCCAUGUCUUGUUUUUAGCACAUUCUUCUUUGGAUUUCUACAACUUGUAAUCCUAUAUAUAGGGCCUAAGAGCCACGAAAUAAGAUAAGCUUUUUCCCCUUUUAUUUGAGUUUAUCUAUUUGUUCUUUGUAGAACACUUCUUUGUUUCUUGGUGAGGUUAUCUCCGAGUAAACAGCCUCUAAUUCGUUGGACCUGUGCGUCAUAUCAGGCAACGUUUAGAAAUCCUUCUUUUGGUGGACUUGUGAGUCAUAUCAAGCACCAACUGAAGUCUGGUAGUAUCAUUGGGCCAUCCGCAACCCAUUGUGUCACCGUUCAAUCCAUCAGUUCUCCCUUUUGGCGAGUUCAUAUCCCUUUAGUCCGGUCGAGUGAUCCUUCCCUAUUUUAGGGCGUAUCAGAAGGUUUCUACGUUUUUCUUCUUCGGACUUUUAGACAUUGAUUCCGCCGUGACCGAUUUUGACCCCACCACUAACCUUUGCUUGAGUACUGCAUAUCACCCUCAGACGGAUGGUUAGACCGAAGUAACGAACAGAAGCAUGGAGACCUACCUAUGUUGCUUCGCGGGAGAUAAGCCGAGAACGUGGGCGAAGUUCCUAGCUUGGGCAGAGUUGAGUUAUAACACUUCUUUUCACUCAGCUAUCAAGACAACUCCGUUCCGCGCACUCUAUGGUCGCGACCCUCCAAAACUACUGAAGUAUGAGACUGGUUCAACGGGCAAUGCGGAGUUGGAAGGUCAGUUGAAAGAUAGGGAUGCGACAUUGCUACUGCUUAAAGAACACUUGCAUAGAGCUCAGCAGAUAAUGAAGUUGAGGGCUGACAAAUCUCGCCGGGAAGUAACUUUUGCAGUGGGAGAUUGGGUUUACGUUAAGCUCCGUCCUUACAGACAACAAUCAUUAGCUCGCAGGAUGAACGAGAAGAUCUCAGCACGGUUCUAUGGUCCGUUCGAAGUGGAAGGCCGUGUGGGCCAAGUUGCAUAUAAGCUCAAGCUUCCAACGGAUACUAAGAUCCACCCAACGUUUCAUGUGUCGCAACUUAAGCUAGCAAUUGGUGAGACAGCAGUUGUGGCUCCACUGCCCGUACAACUCAAUCGAGAUGGAGUGUUGAUGGUAGAACCAGAGAAGAUAUUCACAGAACGUGUCAACGCAACAACAAGACAGGCAGAGUUACUCAUUAAGUGGUUGGGAAUGCCAGUUCAUGAUUGUUCUUGGGAGUGGAAAUCUGCAACCAAAGAAAAAUUUUCAGGCUUUGACCUUGAGGACAAGGUCAAUUUCGAUGGUGCGGGUAUUGAUACGUAUGAGGCUAGACGUCCACCUGUCCUCUUCCAAUACAAAAGGAGGGACAAAACGGCUCUACAAUGAGAGAGCUACAGAUGUCAGCUUUCGGUUGGAGAACAAGGAUAAGAAGAAUAAGGAAUAAAAGAGGUUAGCGUGAGCUGUCAUGCUGCACAUGGCCUGUCGAGUAGUAGGACGGUGUGAGGAGGCACGUGAGUUUGUCUUAUAUAAGUUGUGUCAUCGAGUCUGUUUUAGGCAUCAAA